CAGCGUGGUACUCCUUUCGUUUCCCAUCGGUCAGUUGAUCAGUAUGACUCUACGCAACUGGUACGCGAAUCGCGAGCUGCUCCUAACAGGAGUUACCAGUGAUGUGGGACGAGCGCUCCUCGAGAAGAUCCUACGUUCCUUCCCUGACGUGAAGGUGUACGCUGUAAUCAGAUCGCGGGACGACGUCAACAAAGACGACAGGAUCAAGAAAAUAUUCUUCUCGCCACGAUACGAGAGACUAAGACAGGAGGAACCAAACGCGAUUUCUCGCGUGAAGGCGUUGGAGGGUAAUUUGCUGUUUGAUGAUCUUGGUUUGUCCGAGGAAGACAAGGAUUCGUUGCGGAAUGUCAGCGUGGUGUUUCACGCGGCUGGUCCUCACGACGCCGUGUUUGAGUUUUGUCAGGAGUUGCCUCAGCUAGAGACAGUGGCAGCAGUUUCGAGUAUCUUUCGUCACAAGGGUCAAAUCGCCGAGACGUUGCAGAACGAACGAGUGCCUGACAUACCGCUGGCUCUAGUUAGAGUGCCUUUGGUUGGACCACCAUAUCGAGAGCCUAUGCCAGGCUUUGUCGACGUCUUCAACGGAUCGACAGCUUUCGUAGUAGGCUCGGGACUCGCCCUGGGCAAGUCUGAGUUUCAAGCGGAAAUCAUUCCAAUCGACCUGACGGUCAACACCCUCAUCGCGGUUGCUUGGGAACGAGGCAUCGCGAAAAACGUGGAUAGACCUGUAGUAUAUAACGCUGCAACGAUCGGAUGCACAUGGGGCGAGCUGAUCAAGAAGGGUAGACGAGGCAACCGAAAGUUUACAUACCCGACUUUUGGAUUUCGUGGAAUGACGUCCGUAGCAGCUCUCCAUUGGGUUCUGGUGCUCCUUUUCGAAUGGUUGCCAUCCACGCUCUGCGACACGGUUCUCGGCCUGUUUGGAAUGAAGAAAAGGCUUCUACAAGAGCACGAGAGAGUUCGUAAUGCACUUCGAUCCCUCGAGUCAAUUUCAUCGAGGCCGUGGUCAGCAGAGAGGAACCGUGUGUACCAGCUUCAGCGACAUCUCACCUCAGAAGACCAAGAUGCAUUUCCGGUUACCGCGGAAAUCGACAUCGAGAAUUACGUUCUCUGCGCUGCAGCUGCCACCAGGAAGCAUUGCGUGGGCGAGGCCAAUGUCAGACUCCUAAGAGCCAUUCGACUGUUCUUCUUCUUCGUUGUUACUCUUGUUCUCUUCUACGUCGUCUUUUUCUACAGACAUCAGAUGCCCGUGAAACAACGUGGACUGUAAGCGAAUUCCAAGUUCGAAAGAAUCGUUAUUGUUAUACUAAACUCUGAAGGUCGCUUAAUCCUUGCGUUUAAAUAGGAAUAAUUAAAACACGUUAAUUUGACCUUAGUUGCGCCCCUAUCUUGCAAUAAGAAACGUGAGUUUAUGUCACCUAAACGAAGAAUUCGUAAAAUGUGAAUGAAAACCCAAUCCACCUAACGAAUUCUUCGACUAAAAGUGCAUUUCCAGCGAAACCAGUGUUUCCACAAAAUCGACAAGAAAAACUCUGCCAGCGGUCGCGAGUUGGCUUAGUAAAACGCAAAGUAAUUUCCUCUCGAGGAAGUUCAGCUUUUGUGAAAAGAAAACAUCAUUUAGAAACGGAAGUCCGAUUUCUUUUUCUUCCCCUACCUUAGUUGAAACCCUGCCCCCUAAAUAUAACCGUAUAAUAACGCUAGGAUCAAACGAGUUAAUUUGAAUGUUAUUCUUACGGACCACGGACAACGGUAUUGCUAAGGCUGCUGGCCGAAUAAUUGAACGAAAAGUUUGCAUAGGAGUGGAAGCGGGAACGUCGUUUCAUUGCUUCGCUUUCUGCCUUCUUUUUCCUCGAUCAAUUAUGCAUUUUAAAAAGAAGACUCGAACGCGUCGCUUUAAUUCGUUCCGGUUGACGUCCGCCCAGACACUCGGUAUAACAUUCCUGAACGUUUAUACCGAUUCCUCGUAAAUUUUGCUCUCCUUGGAUUCUCUUAUGUAGUUUUUGCUAAGUCUCCGGUACACCUUGAAUUAAAGCUCUAGAUCUACGACACUUUGUCCGACUUUAAAGACAAAUGAUUGUUCGCAAGAAACGUAAAAUUGGAAAGAACUUCCGGCUAUCUCUACGGGCAAGAUGCUUCCGUAAUUUUCAAAUACGGAGACAGGAGCAGUUUUAAUUUCAAGCGUUUAUCCUUGUCACAGGGAUAGCUCGCAGACACUCGUCCUGUCUCUAACGGUAAGAACCGUGCAAUAGGACGCGAUUGAUCGAUAUUAACGGAAUGGUAUAGAACAAAAUUAUUUUGCACCGCCCAGAAACUGCAGUCCGAUCGAUACAAAAAGGAACUAAAAAUAGCGUAGCGAAUUUAGGAAGAAAAUUAGGUGAAUCCGCAAAUACCAGAGAGCCGAUUCAACAAUCGAUGGCAAGAGGUCGUACGGAAACAUAUUUGACGAAUACGUUGGUAUUCAAAGUAUCGAAUGUAUAAAUAUGACUGCAGUCGAGCGGAGUGCAUGGCAAAUAUUCGUGAGAAUCGUGCAAGCCGCCUAUACACGAGAGAAUGCUAUUCUGGUGAAAGUUUGUAGCAGAACAUCCUCUUGCCUUCGCGCUGAGCCAAGAAACAUAUAUCUCUAGCGUGUUUCCCCUUACGUAACGCGUUACACCGCGCUGCGUUUAUCGAAUUCGUCGAUCCCGCUGUCUUCAAAAAUACCAAACGAACUUGUCUUGGUUGGUAAAUGAGUUUCGAAUCUCUCCACGGAUACAUCGAUGACUUUGCGACGCUUGGAAUGCUUACUUCGAGAACUUUACCAUUUGACGAGAUCCACUCCUUUGAUGCUACCGCUACGAAAGUCUUGCGUUGCAAUGUGAUACCAAAAAUAUUUGUUCUCGUUACUUAGUCGUUUAGAGAACAUUUCUUUAAAGAUAAAUAUAGAAUUAAUACACGAUAAGGCAAAAAGUAGGAAAAACAUUAAAAGUAAUUACCUAUCCAAUGGUUAGAAUGGUGCCACGUAAUCCGUUGUUGAACGGUCUAGUAUGAUCGGUACCGUAGAAUCGAGCAAGGUUACAUAUUAAUCAUAAAGGAUGGCAGUCCUUAAUAUUCCCAUCAACGUAACCAAGAAGCAAUAACCAAGAUCGUUUCGCGCGGCCCUUUUCCCAACAGAAACUUGGUUCGCGUGACUGCACAUAGCGGAAGGCGCGGCGAUUAGUUCCGCGAGAUAUAAUUGGACGCGGUGGCUGGAACUGUGCCCCUGUAAUAAUAAUUGCGGGACGUCUGUUCUACGAAACGAACUUCCAGGAGCUGGCUGGCUGCGUAACAGAGGAACAGGAACAGCGUGAGACGUGAGAAAGGGAGACCAAAAUAUGAAGAGGAAUAAGGGAAAUAUGGGGCGAAGAAGGGCGAGGAAGACGGACGGAUCAAAAGGCACGAAAAGCUUGAAAAAUGAUGGAAUGAAAAGGACGUUGGUGAAAAUUAAACGCUUCCGUGGCGAGAGCUAUUCCUAGAAGAGGCGCCGGAUAGUCCGGACAGAGCCGUUAUUCCCUGGACUUUAAAAGGUACAAUGGACAAGUCCUACAGACCAAGGGGAGAUUUGCCAAGAGUCGACUCGAACCGAAGAAUAAGAACUCAGCCUUUUUGUCGUCCUUUCUUCGACAAGCCUUUUCCAUUGGUUGACCCGUUUCGGUAUCUCCAGGACGACGCAGCCCACUUUGGCCACGCCGCUAUUAAUUGGAACAAGCUGAAGCUACGUGUCUCUAUUAUUUGCGAUACCCGUUUCACGUGAUCCCACGACACGGCAGACCACUUUGUUUCCUCUUCCGCCGUUCCUUCAACGUUCUCGAGGAAACAGUAUCGCCGCUGACACGAUUAAUCUACCAAUUACAAUGGAACAGCCAACCAAUUCGGAACGGCGCCGGCGCGGGCACGACCGCGGCAUUUGGUAAUCGCUUCCUCGUUACUCGCAAGAAAUCGGAUCACAAACAAAGCAGAGGAACAAUACACGUGCACAGAAUCUCCGUGUAUUGUCAAACUCAGUUAUCUCAAAAAGAAAAUGUCGGAAAACGUUUAGGUAACGCAGUGUAUGAACCAAAGUUACUCUCGAAAACACAUUUUCUCCAAGUUCUCGGACAAAUUCUCCGUUCAUUUCGACUUUAAUAGACGUUAAAUCUCUCGUGUCUCGGGACUUCAGGGAUGGAAACAAAGACGAAGGUAUCCGACAGAGACUUAGCCGCGAGCUACCUCGAGAACAUGCUCCGAGUAUCGGCGUUAUCUUGCCGAUCUGCUGAAUUAAUAGCGUCGAAGAUCUUAUCGAAAUUAACGCAACGAGCUCGCCAACUUCAAAGAUCCCGUUAAUGUUUUUGCUCUAGAACUCUCUUUCGAGAUUCUCGAUACCUUUAGCGACUCGAGAUCUCCAAGUGGAGAGUUUCGCGACCCCGUUUAAUUAAGAUCCGUAGGCACUGCGAGGCAUAGAGGAUAGAUACCCGUUAGUUGUAACGCAGGUAUACUGAAUUUUUAAAAACCCUACCGUACAGAGAAUAUAUUUUCAUAUUCUGAAUGACUGUUGCGCAAAAAAUAUUAUUGUACGACGCUUUUCACGCAAGUUUCUUCGCGUUCUCUAUUUAACAACGAGGUAAACGAAGGUGGACGUAACGAAGAAAUGCAGCGAGAAACGUAGAAGGCCAGAAAAAUGGAACAUGAUCCCCCAUGCAGAAGCAAAAGAAGACAAAGCGGAUAAAAAGCUCGCAUGAAUACGAAUGUAGGAACUGUUACGGAAAAAGCAGUGCGUUUGCGACCGUACGCCUCUCCGGAACAGAGCUUCUCAACUUGCGGUAGAGGAUUUGGAGUAUUUGCAACGUAUAUCGCUUUCUUGCGCGUUUAUCGACAAUCGAGCUACUAGAUUUAUCUUCGAAAAAGUUAUACAAAUAA